GAGUUUGAUCCUGGCUCAGGACGAACGCUGGCGGCGUGCUUAACACAUGCAAGUCGAACGAAAAGAGGGAAAGAGCUUGCUCUUUCCGGAAUUGAGUGGCAAACGGGUGAGUAACACGUAAACAACCUGCCUUCAGGAUGGGGACAACAGACGGAAACGACUGCUAAUACCGAAUAAGUUCCAAGAGCCGCAUGGCCCAUGGAAGAAAAGGUGGCCUCUACCUGUAAGCUAUCGCCUGAAGAGGGGUUUGCGUCUGAUUAGCUGGUUGGAGGGGUAACGGCCCACCAAGGCGACGAUCAGUAGCCGGUCUGAGAGGAUGAACGGCCACACUGGAACUGAGACACGGUCCAGACUCCUACGGGAGGCAGCAGUGGGGAAUCUUCCGCAAUGGGCGAAAGCCUGACGGAGCAACGCCGCGUGAGUGAUGACGGCCUUCGGGUUGUAAAACUCUGUGAUCCGGGACGAAAAGGCAGAGUGCGAAGAACAAACUGCAUUGACGGUACCGGAAAAGCAAGCCACGGCUAACUACGUGCCAGCCGCCGCGGUAAUUC
rnacentral:rRNA from 1 species